CCGUGGUAAUACGUAGGUGGCAAGCGUUGUCCGGAUUUAUUGGGCGUAAAGCGAGCGCAGGCGGUUUUUUAAGUCUGAUGUGAAAGCCUUCGGCUCAACCGAAGAAGUGCAUCGGAAACUGGGAAACUUGAGUGCAGAAGAGGACAGUGGAACUCCAUGUGUAGCGGUGAAAUGCGUAGAUAUAUGGAAGAACACCAGUGGCGAAGGCGGCUGUCUGGUCUGUAACUGACGCUGAGGCUCGAAAGUAUGGGUAGCAAACAGGAUUAGAUACCCUGGUAGUCCAUACCGUAAACGAUGAAUGCUAAGUGUUGGAGGGUUUCCGCCCUUCAGUGCUGCAGCUAACGCAUUAAGCAUUCCGCCUGGGGAGUACGGCCGCAAGGCUGAAACUCAAAGGAAUUGACGGGGGCCCGCACAAGCGGUGGAGCAUGUGGUUUAAUUCGAAGCUACGCGAAGAACCUUACCAGGUCUUGACAUACUAUGCAAAUCUAAGAGAUUAGACGUUCCCUUCGGGGACAUGGAUACAGGUGGUGCAUGGUUGUCGUCAGCUCGUGUCGUGAGAUGUUGGGUUAAGUCCCGCAACGAGCGCAACCCUUAUUAUCAGUUGCCAGCAUUAAGUUGGGCACUCUGGUGAGACUGCCGGUGACAAACCGGAGGAAGGUGGGGAUGACGUCAAAUCAUCAUGCCCCUUAUGACCUGGGCUACACACGUGCUACAAUGGAUGGUACAACGAGUUGCGAACUCGCGAGAGUAAGCUAAUCUCUUAAAGCCAUUCUCAGUUCGGAUUGUAGGCUGCAACUCGCCUACAUGAAGUCGGAAUCGCUAGUAAUCGCGGAUCAGCAUGCCGCGGUGAAUACGUUCCCGGGCCUUGUACACACCGCCCGUCACACCAUGAGAGUUUGUAACACCCAAAGUCGGUGGGGUAACCUUUUAGGAACCAGCCGCCUAAGGUGGGACAGAUGAUUAGGGUGAAGUCGUAACAAGG
rnacentral:rRNA from 1 species